ACAUCAUGUUAAGACCCCAGUUCCCAUACGAUCAACGAAGUUAAGCAACGUCGAGCCCAGUCAGUACCUAGAUGAGUGACCAUUUGGGAAUAUAUGGUGCUGUAAG